GGGCAUGUAACUCAGUGGUUCAGAGUACGCGCUUGAUAAGCGUGAAGCCGAGGGUUCGAAUCCCUCCUUGCCCA
rnacentral:tRNA from 1 species